GAGCUUACAAAAAAGCUCUUGGAAUGGAACAGUGAUCUCACUACACAAAGGGAUGAAAACGGGAGUACGCCUCUCCAUUUUGCUGCAGCUCUGGCACAGCAAAGUCAGCGAGGAAGUAUAUGUUGGCAAGUAUUGGAAGCUAACUCAGCUGCAUUGUAUCAGUCAGAUUGCAACGGAUUAUUUCCAAUACACGUUGCUGCCUCUGUUGGUGAAAGUGGGACUAUAACUAUGUUUCUUAACAAGUCUCCAAGCAGUGCCGGUUUGCAGGACAGUAUGGGAAGGACAUUCCUUCAUGUAGCUGCUGAGAAAAGGAAAGUUCGAAUAGUCAGUUCUGCUUGCAGAAACCGAUCACUCUUAUGGAUUCUAAAUAUCCAAGACAAUGAUGGGAACACUGCACUACACCUAGCUAUCCAGGCACGGAGUCUUCGAAUGUUUUGUGCUUUGUUAGGGAAUUGACACACACAUUUGAAUUUAUCAAAUAAUAUUGGGCAAACUCCUCUAGAUAUAUCACUAUAUGGGAUUCCCCCAGGAAUUUUUGAUGAUCAGAUCAGUGAAGCGAAGAUACACUUUGCACUGACAGUUGUUAAUGCUAGGAGUGGUGGCAGUCGUCGUGAUCACUUUGAAGAAAACUACACUCGUCAGUUAAAAUAUGAUGAAACGGAACAAUUAGAAAAGGCGAAAGAACCAACACAAACACUAUGUAUUGGUGUGGCUCUAGUUGCAACUGCGACGUUUACUGUUACUUUUGCCCUUCCUGGAGGUUACAAAGCUGAUGAACAUAUUAAUGGAGGCACACCAACACUUGCCGGGAGGUAUGCAUUUGAUGCAUUCAUAAUAGCCAGCACAUUCUCCUUCGUCUUGUCUGUGAUGGCUAUGGUAGGUCUCAUGUAUUCUGGAUACUCUAUUUUAAACCCACAGACUCGUAGAAUUUACUUAAUCGCGGCCUUGUAUCUUGGGUCAACAUCGGGCACAUGCUUCUUAACAACUUUUGCACUAGGUUUGUACAUGGUGCUAGCACGAGUUGCUCACAAGUCGGCCAUUGCUAUCUGCGUCAUUAGCCCUCUUGCUGUUAUAUGCAAACAAAUGGACCUUUGGUUAAAGUGGGCUCUUCUGGCACAACCAUUAUGUACUCGAAUUGGGCUAACUCGUACACUGGUAAUUGUGACAACGAGAAUCCUUUUCAGCCUGUUGAUGGAAUUUUGGCCCAUAAUAUUCAUUUUUGUUUGGGCCACAUAUACAAGCAACUAGUUUUAG
rnacentral:rRNA from 1 species